UACGGAGGGUGCGAGCGUUAAUCGGAAUUACUGGGCGUAAAGCGCGCGUAGGUGGUUUGAUAAGUCGGAUGUGAAAACCCAGGGCUCAACCUUGGACUUGCACCCGAUACUGUUAGACUAGAGUACGAUAGAGGGUAGUGGAAUUUCCUGUGUAGCGGUGAAAUGCGUAGAUAUAGGAAGGAACACCAGUGGCGAAGGCGACUACCUGGAUUGAUACUGACACUGAGGUGCGAAAGCGUGGGGAGCAAACAGG
rnacentral:rRNA from 1 species